GAAAAAAGAGUUCAAGAGUACGUGAAACUGCUCAAGGCUAAACGGGUGGGCCCUCGAAGUCCGAGCGGAGAGGGAUUCAGUCGCGAGCCACGAGGGGUGCCGGCAUUGUAACAAGUCCGGACUCCGGAGGGAGCCGCGGCGAUGGCACCGUCCUCGGGACGCGCGAUGCAUUUUCCUCUCCCGUGGGACGCCGCAGCCGGUGGGGCGUCGGCAGUGAGGACCUGGUCGGUAGGAGGCAUGGAUCGUGGCCUCGCGCUACGUGUCUGCCCGGCCGCGUGUCCGUGCGUGACGCCCGAACGGCCUCGCCCUGCGAGCGGGCCCCCGAGCCAGGGAAUGCGUGCGUAGCUGCCCCGUGUCACCAAGCCAGUGUCUGGGGCCGCACGCGCCCCGGACAGGGGCGGGGUUGCAGCCCGUGGCGUUACGGCUUGCGGUGAGUAGGUCGGUAACCCACCCGACCCGUCUUAAAACACGACCAAACAGUCUAACAUGUGCGCGAGUCAGUGGGGUCGAUCAAGCCCACGGGCGGAACGAAAGUGAGCACGUCGGGAUCCCCGUCCCUCGGGGCGGGGCGCACUGACGCGACCCCACCGAGCGUGGGAGCCGCCGGUGCCGGAGCGCACACGUUAGGACCCGAAAGAUGGUAAACUAUGCCCGGGCAGGUCGAAGCUAGAGGAAACUCUGGUGGAGGACCGCAGCGGUCUGACGUGC
rnacentral:rRNA from 1 species